GACGAACCGAGCGAGCGUUGUUCGGAAUCACUGGGCUUAAAGGGCGCGUAGGCGGGUGCUCAAGUCCGGGGUGAAAUCCUCCAGCUCAACUGGAGAACUGCCUCGGAUACUGGGUGUCUCGAGGGUGGUAGGGGUAUGCGGAACUAUCGGUGGAGCGGUGAAAUGCGUUGAUAUCGAUAGGAACUCCGGUGGCGAAGGCGGCAUACUGGACCACAUCUGACGCUGAGGCGCGAAAGCCAGGGGAGCAAACGGG
rnacentral:rRNA from 1 species